GCUGAUGUGGCUCAGUUGGUAGAGCAGUUGAUUCGUAAUCAACAGGUCGGGGGUUCGAAUCCCCCCAUCAGCUCCA
rnacentral:tRNA from 1 species